UUUGAAAUGUAACCUACAAAUUAUAGUAAAAACCAGAGAAACUACUAAACAUGGACGCAGCUUAGGUUACACAUGCAAAACAAAGUUUGCUCUGAUGCUUGUAAAAUAGUAUAUUCUUUUACAUGUAAUGCCAUGACGAUAACGAUGUCGAUGCAGGCCAAUAGUGGGUACUUUGGGUCACUCUUCCUGAUGGUGUUUGCUCAUCAUUGUCUCAACACCUUAGCAUUUUGCAGAGCUUUCUUCGUGCUGUGAAGGUAACACUGUCUCCUUUGAACCACUUUCUUAUAAAGGAUUAACAAUUUUAUCUUUGAGAACUAAUCGUGUUUAUAAUAAAUUGGGCAUUGCAGAUAUGAAGGAAGUAGUCUAUGUUAUUUUAAGCUGAAAAUUCAAGCUGCAAACAAGUUACUCCUACAAACAUAUGUGCAUUCUCUGCCCCAAUUUUCUUGGAUAAAAUAUGACAUCUUUCCUUUUUCUGCAGUUGUGUUGUAGUGGAGAACAUCGACAUAAGCCUCGCCGCAGCCAAAGUUGCUGGAAUGAAGUGUAUCGCAACCAAAAGCGGGUAACUUUUUUACAUAUGAACAAAUGAAGAGUGCUUCCAUAUUUCCCACCUUCUUGACAUCUCAGAUUAUACUUAAAUUUGUUAGAAAGUUUGUCGGCAUUAGUUGAGAUGAGUGUAAUCUUUGCUAGUCAUGUAUGUCAAAUUUGGGUAAUCAAAUGGUAAACAUGUUCACUUAAUCGCUUAAAAACUCCGGUUUCAGGUACACAGUAGAAGACGACUUUCAACAAGCAAAAGCAGUCUUUGACUUCAUUGGAGAUCCCCGGAGGAGCGAUUUGACUGGGGAUUCUGCAGAAGACGGUCCUCCAUCUACAAUACCUUGGAUGGUGAUUAGGGUUUCAGCUAAGAUAAGCGACAAAUACCAAUAUGCAUUCGUUAGUAAUCCUGAUGUUGAUAUUCCUGUUGAAGUACAAAUUAGCUCUUCAAGGGCUUUCAUUGGCGAAUCUCUGGGUGGUGAACUAUUACAAGGGGCUUUCUAUUGCCAAGGCAAACUAAUUGGGAAUCAUAACCUAAGAAUUUCUUCCGCGGUGAAUCAUGUACCUUCUUGUAGGAGUUGUUUUAUUUGAUUUCCCAUAUUCUAGAUUUGAGCAAACAGGACCACCUAUAGAACAGAGAAAUCAUAUAGGCAAUGACCCUUAAUGCAGAGUGACCAAGCAGAGUUACUCCUAUGAUGCAUAUGGUCCGGUAAUGUAGAUUAACCAAGCAGAACCAUAGGUAGGAAUCCAAUAGUGUAGUCCUCUAAUGUGUAUUAACCAAUGAGGACCACUUAUAAAAUAGAGAAAUCAAAUAGGCAGUAUCUCACUAAUGCAAAUUAAUCAAACAAAACCACCCGUGGUAAAAAUUUCCCACCUUGUCAUAUUCUUGCAUGGUGGAGAUUCGUUUUACUUGUUAGAGAUUAAGUCUUCUCAGCAGUGGCCACUUGCACUAACCUUGCCGGCUAUGGUCUACGGCAUCGUUAGCCGGCCGGAUUUAAUUAUAUGUUUGACAGCAUCAUUAGCCGGAUUAAAUUAUAUUUGGCAGGCAGAUUUGGAUUCUUGUAGGCUUGUAGCCACUCCUCUUCACAAUUGUGGGAAUUUAAAUAUAUAUUUGACGGCCGGCCAGAUUUGGAUUCUUGUAGAACCGAUCAUGCAAAAUACAAACAAGCGGUUGGUGCAAGCCAUCACGUCCUCACAAAUGACCCACUCAUUAAUUAUACGAAUCUACCCCUCUGUUAUUGGAUGCACCACCUUUUUCACGUUAUAAAAUGUUAAACCAAUCCUAUCAUAUCAUCCUCCAUUGCGCUUGUAUUGAUAUUCGAGUAAUCUUGUAGUCCUAAUAUGAAAGAGUCUUUAUCUCUAAUUAACUAAUCACAUAAUCCUUAUUUAGUAAAAUUUAUUAUGGUGGAACAUAAAAUAUAUAAUUGUGAUUACGAAUCUCUCUCAUUUUAUAAUAUGAUUGAUUGAAAGAUAUCAUAAUAACUAUAUAUAGAUUAUCCCUGUCCUCACAAUAAUCGUUCUAUUAUGUACUAAUAUAGUUUUAUAUUUUUAAUUUAUGUAUUACUAUCGGUUCGGUCGUGUAGAACAACCUCAUUGCCGGCCUUUGAUUAUUUUUCAGUUUCUUGUUUGUUUUUAAAUGUGUAGUUUUCUUGUAAUUUAUCAUUACAUUAUAAGACAUUUGAACAGACAUUUGAUACGUUCAGUAUUCAACAUUAUAAUGGGCAAUGCUAAUACAUUUUAUAUUUUAUAAUGUAUAUGUUACUAUCGGUUCAUGUAUAACAACCUUAUUGCCGGCCUUUGUUUAUUAUUUUAGUUUUCUCAUUUGUUUUUUAUAAGAUGUGUAGCUUGCUUGUAUUUUAUCAUCUAUGACAUUUGAACACACAGUUGAUGUGUUUAAUAUUUACAUUUUAAUGGUUUUCAUUGUUUUCCUUGACUAUAUAUUAGUCUAUUUAUCUUUUUAUUUCUAGUGUAUUUGCUAAGCCGGUCUUCUUGAGUGUAGUUGGGUAAGGCAACCGCCUAGGGUCCCGACUUUUGGGUGCUCCUAAUUUAUAUAUAUAUAUAUAUAUUAGUAUAUAAAUACUGUAAAAGUAAGAUGAAUAACAAAGAAAAUUUGGUGGCGUAGUGGAAAAGAAGACAUUUAUUUGGUUACCGUCUCCUGUUCUAAACAUGAUGGAGGAUUUUUUUUUUAUAAUUAAAAGGGCCACGCUAGUAAAGACUUCACAAACAAGCAUAUUCAAAUAGCCCCCGUAAAGUAAGAUAUCUUUGGUUCAAUUCUCGCCAAAUGUGAACCUGAACCACAUUAUUAUGGCAAGUUCAUUGUGAGGCCGAACACACUCUUUGAAAGCCUAAUCUAAUAACAAUUUAGAUUAUGUAAACAUAAUUAGUAGAUUUGAGAUACUUUUCAACACAGAAAGAGAUAGAAGACUCGGAUUUGAGAUACUUUUCAACACAUAAAGAGAAAAUACCACUAAACUACAAACUCUAAUUGGUAAAUUUAGUGCAGUGUUUAAGUUCUUAAUUAACAUCUAUGUCUCAUAGUGUUAUUUUACAUUAGCAAGGAAUAACAUAUACGAUUAAGUACAUUUUCAUCAGCCACUUAGUACUACGGUCUAGUAGUAUUCCUCUUCACUUAUAACUGAGAGGUCUUAGGUUCGAUUCUCGCCAAAGGCGAAUUUGAACCACAUUAUUGUUAGCUCAUCGUGAGGCUAAGCCUACCCCCAUCACCCUUAGUGUAAAUAAUACUGUUUUUUCAAAAAAAAAAACACACACACACAUUUUCACCACAUUAGAUGACCUAAUUAUAUAGUAAAUGAUUUUGCUAUAAUAACAACCUUCCCACAUGUCAAAGACAUAUAUGUUUUCCUUGAACAGACAUUUGAUACGUUCAGUAUUCAACAUUAUAAUGGGCAAUGCUAAUACAUUUUAUAUUUUAUAAUGUAUAUGUUACUAUCGGUUCGUGUAUAACAACCUUAUUGCCGGCCUUUGUUUAUUAUUUUAGUUUUCUCAUUUGUUUUUUAUAAGAUGUGUAGCUUGCUUGUAUUUUAUCAUCUAUGACAUUUGAACACACAGUUGAUGUGUUUAAUAUUUAACAUUUUAAUGGUUUUCAUUGUUUUCCUUGACUAUAUAUUAGUCUAUUUAUCUUUUUAUUUCUAGUGUAUUUACUAAGCCGGUCUUCUUGAGGGUAGUUGGGUAAGGCAACCGCCUAGGGUCCCGACUUUUGGGUGCUCCUAAUUUAUAUAUAUAUAUAUAUAUAUAUAUAUAUAUAUAUAUAUAUAUAUAUAUAUAUAUAUAUAUAUAUAUAUAUAUAUAAAUACUGUAAAAGUAAGAUGAAUAACAAAGAAAAUUUGGUGGCGUAGUGGACAAGAAGACAUUUAUUUGGUUACCGUCUCCUGUUCUAAACAUGAUGGAGGAUUUUUUUUUUAUAAUUAAAAGGGCCACGCUAGUAAAGACUUCACAAACAAGCAUAUUCAAAUAGCCCCCGUAAAGUAAGAUAUCUUUGGUUCAAUUCUCGCCAAACGUUAACCUGAACCACAUUAUUAUGGCAAGUUCAUUGUGAGGCCGAACACACUCUUUGAAAGCCUAAUCUAAUAACAAUUUAGAUUAUGUAAACAUAAUUAGUAGAUUUGAGAUACUUUUCAACACAGAAAGAGAUAGAAGACUCGGAUUUGAGAUACUUUUCAACACAGAAAAAGAAAAUACCACUAAACUACAAACUCUAAUUGGUAAAUUUAGUGCAGUGUUUAAGUUCUUAAUUAACAACUAUGUCUAAUAGUGUUAUUUUACAUUAGCAAGGAAUAACAUAUACGAUUAAGUACAUUUUCAUCAGACACUUAGUACUACGGUCUAUUGGUAUUCUUCUUCACUUAUAACUGAGAGGUCUUAGGUUCGAUUCUCGCCAAAGGCGAAUUUGAACCACAUUAUUGUUAGCUCAUCGUGAGGCUAAGCCUACCCCCAUCACCCUUAGUGUAAAUAAUACCGUUUUUUCAAAAAAAAAAAAAAAACACACACACACACACAUUUUCACCAUAUUAGAUGACCUAAUUAUAUAGUAAAUGAUUUUGCUAUAAUAACAACCUUCCCACAUGUCAAAGACAUAUAUAUUUCAUAAUGUAUAUGUUACUAUCGGUUCGUGUAUAACAACCUUAUUGCCGGCCUUUGUUUAUUAUUUUAGUUUUCUCAUUUGUUUUUUAUAAGAUGUGUAGCUUGCUUGUAUUUUAUCAUCUAUGGCAUUUGAACACACAUUUGAUGUGUUUAAUAUUUAACAUUUUAAUGGUUUUCAUUGUUUUCCUUGACUAUAUAUUAGUCUAUUUAUCUUUUUAUUUCUAGUGUAUUUGCUAAGCCGGUCUUCUUGAGGGUAGUUGGGUAAGGCAACCGCCUAGGGUCCCGACUUUUGGGUGCUCCUAAUUUAUAUAUAUAUAUAUAUAUAUAAAUAUUGUAAAAGUAAGAUGAAUAACAAAGAAAAUUUGGUGGCGUAGUGGAAAAGAAGACAUUUAUUUGGUUACCAUCUCCUGUUCUAAACAUGAUGGAGGAUUUUUUUUAUAAUUAAAAGGCCACACUAGUAAAGACUUCACAGACAAGCAUAUUCAAAUAGCCCCCGUGAAGUAAGAUAUUUUUGGUUCAAUUCUCGCCAAAUGUGAACCUGAACCACAUUAUUAUGGCAAGUUCAUUGUGAGACCGAACUCACUUUCUGAAAGCCUAAUCUAAUAACAAUUUAGAUUAUGUAAACAUAAUUAGUAGAUUUGUGCCUAAAAAUGUGAGACGUGUAUUAUCUAAUAAUGUUUGUAUAUCUUUCUUCUUUUAAUAUUAAUUUUUAAUGUUAUUUUAUGUUUAUGACAUUCCAAAAUUUUUUCCUAUUGCAACAGAUAGAUUGCCCUGGUGAAUAAGUCUUUCAUCUUCAAUUCACUGCAUUCAUAAUUCAAAAAAAAUUCCCCUCACCUUGCUCUAGUUUAAAAUAUUAAUAUCGUUUGUAAUUAAAGAAAAUCUUAUAUAUUAAUAUGAGGAAAAGUUGAAAUUUUAUCAUUCUAGGUCUUAACAAGAAUCAGCGCCCGUACUUCAACAGAGUCAUGUGCUCCGAACUUCCAUCUUUUCUUCUUCUGUUUCUCAAAAACUAUCACUCUCCUGUGUAUCUAGAAAUGUUCAUGAUUUUAUGAACUCAAUUUCCAAGCUGUUUUGUUUUCAUAAAAUUUCUAGUUUUCCAAGUUUAUAAAUUUUCAGAGUAAAAAAUCCUAACAAGUGGUUGGAUUGGAUGUAAACCAAUUCUGAUUUCCCUAUUCAAAACUUAACUCGGCAAGAGAUAUAGGGAGUCAGAGACAUUAUUUUCGAUUUCUCCUCCCGUAAAAUCGCUUUUAUUAAAAAAAAAACACAUUAACUUUCAUUUUUUAAGGGAAAAUAAAAAAUAAUUAUUUAAGUUAAAAAAAAUUAAAAAAUAAAAAAAAAAUAAAAAACCAGCUCAUGUGAUAUGUGUGAGAGGCUAAUAGUAGUGCUUUUAACUUUCUGUUGAGCCUUUCGGCAAAGCGAAAAAGUAAAGGACAGAAAAUUAGAGUAUGUUUGGUAUUUUAUUUGAGUCUAACUUUUUUAAUUAAAAAAUAAUUGUCAAGUUUUGGGUUUUAAAAACUUGUUUGUUAUAACUCUUUUUAAAAACUGAACUCAAGACUAACUAAAAAUAUAUAUAUUUUUCUCUAAAAACAUAAAAAAUGAAUUUAUAGAGUUUUUAAACUUAAAUUCACUCUUUUUUUUUCUCUCCCUCCUCCCAUCUCACUCCAAAUCUAUCUCUCUUUUUUCUUCUUUCUCUCUCCUUUUUUUUUUACCUUUUUCGUCACUCCUUCAAUCCGCUCUCUUCAUUAUCUCGAUUUUUUCUCUCACUCCUCUUCCUCUUUAUCUAUUCCUAUCCUCUCUCUUCUUUCUCUUUCCUUCAAUCAUCUCUUACUUUCUUUCCUCCUCUCUCCUCUUUCUCCCUUUCCUGAGACCACCUUUUUUUAGAUCUCUUUGUCUAUUUUAAGUCGCAAGAUUUUAAAAAAAUUAAAUCACAAACCAAUCAAGUUUUUUAAUCUUAAAAAAAUUAUUUUCAAGAAAUAUUCUUAAAAAAAUAUUUUAAGAAAUGAAACUUUUUAAAUAAGAUACCAAACAAACCCACAUUUUUCGCUUUCUUCUAUUUUUAACUUGGUAGAGAUUAAGCCACUUCUUUUGACUAUUGAACGAGGAGGAUCCCGUUCCACGUCUAAAGGAAAUCUAUCCUUUAAUUAUUGUUUUUUUUAUAGGAACCUUCCCCUCUAUUAUUGGACGUUCCACGUUUUUCAUGUUAUAAGAGAGAAAUUUAAACGCUGUAUUGUGUCUGGUGUCUCUCAUCAUAUCAUCCUCCAUUGCACUUGUAAUAUUGUAUUGAAGAGAGAAAUUUAAACACUCUGAUUAGCUGAGCUGAGCUGAGCUGAGCAGGGAAUUGAAGAAAUGGCUGAAGAUGUGCUUACUUUUGCUGCGGAGGGAAUACUGAACAAGGUGCUUUCACUCGCUGCUCAAGAAUUCAGUCUUGCAUGGGGUUUCAAAGCUGAACUCAGAAAGCUUCAAAAGUCAUUCAUCGACAUUGAAAGUUUCUUGGAUGAUGUUGCCAACCAACCACAAGGUAGUAUAUAUUUCUGGAUUCUCUUAUAAUCUCACACACACAUGCUACAAUUUAAUUACCAAUCUCAAGUACUGUUCUACUUUUUCAUUGUCUAACAGAAAAGAGCAAGUCAAUGGAGGAAUGGGUGAAGAACCUCAAAGACGUUGCUCAGGAUGCUGAGGAUGUCUUGGAUGAAUUCCAGUACGAAGUUGAUCGGCGUAAAGUCGAAAUCCAUAACCAUAUCAAGAAAAAGGUUCUUAACUUCUGUUCACUCUCCAAUCCACUUAAAUUUCGUCUUCAAAUGGCGCGUAAAAUACAGAAUAUCAAUGCAUCCUUGGUAAAACUCAAGAGUGAAGCAUCUUUUCUUGGACUAGUUUCCCAGAAUAAAGGUGCAACCCCUCAGGCAUCUAGAUGGGACCGACCAACCGACUCACUCUUUGUCGAAGGUGAAAUAACCGUUGGAAGGGUAGAGGUUGUGUCAGAAAUAGUCACAACCUUGACCGACUCCCAAAGCAACCAAGAAAAUCUUGCGGUUAUGGCCAUCGUGGGAAUGGGAGGCCUCGGUAAGACAACAUUGGCCAAGUCAGUUUACAACGAUAAGGAUUCGAUACACAAGUUUUUUGAAAAGAGAAUAUGGGUUUGUGUAUCGAACACUUUUGAUGUCGAAUUAAUUCUACUCCAGAUGUUAGAAUCUCUUAACCCUGCAAAAGCUACUUCAAAGAGUAAUCAGGAAGCAAUUCUAACAAACCUGCUAAAAGAGUUGAAAGAUAAAAGAUACUUACUCGUACUUGAUGACGUUUGGAACGAAGAUCCCUUAAAAUGGGAGAAUUUGAUAGAAUCUUUGUCAAAGCUUUAUUCUGCUAAAGGAUCCAAAAUUGUUGUCACUACUCGCAGUGGCAAAGUUGCAUCAAUUUCUGAAAACUACUUCGGCGACGUGAUUUGGAUAAACUUUCUGUGGAUGAAUGUUGGUCUAUCAUGAAAGUUAAAGCCCUCCCCUAUGUCAGUGCUGAUGUAGCUCCUGAGUUCCAGAUAAUUGGAAGGGAGAUUGCUAAAAAUUGUGGUGGUGUUCCAUUGGUAGCAAAGGUGCGUACUAUUAUUAUGUAUCUUGACAUAGAAUUUGCACCUUUCUUAUUUUUAAUUUUUUUUAUAUGUUUUCAUUUAUAAAUUAGGACAAUACUUGCAUCCACACCAUAGGAUACACCACCUUAUCAAUUAAAGUAGUUAAGCGACAUAAAUUGGAUGAAUUAUUUUGUUAUGACUGCAAUUGGUAUUUGUUAGGUUAUCUCCAAUCUAAUAGUUAAUAGUUAAAACUUUAAAGUCAAUUUUAAUCUUAAAUCUGACUCUAAAAUUGACUUGGCUUGAACCAAGUGUAGCAAUUAGUUUGGAUUGGACUUUAUCUUGUCUUAUGUUUGGUGUUAACUUUGGAUUAGAGAGAGGAUGGUCCUUAAAUUAUUACCCGAGUGAAAAUUAGGUCCGUAAUUAUUUUUCCGGAAAAAAUUAGUUCUUAAAACUAAUAAAAAUAUGUCAUUUACAUCUCUGAUAUUAUAUUCGAAACUAUUAUAUUCAAUUUUUAGUCAAUUUAAUUCAUAUGACUUGCAUGUGAUACAAAUUUAAUAAUCAGAACCAUUCAUUUUCAUAAUCAUCAUUUAAAGAUGUUCAUUGCAAAAUUUCACUUCAAAUCAUAGAUAUUAGCCAUCUGAUAUCAUGGAUAUUUUACUUGGUACCAACAUCGUCAAUUUGUUCAAUACAUAUGGAUAACUAAAAGAUCUUCAAUUUUAUUGAUAGUUGAUAGCAAACAAAUUGAUCCAAUCCCUUCGAAUUUUAGUCAUACUACUAGCAAUAUUGCCCGCGCGAUGCUGCGGGCGUGAAAUUCAACAUGUUCAAAUGCAUUCUAAGCAGUAUCAAUUUGAAUGCAAUUAAUCAAAGCACAGGUUGCAGCAUACCUUCUAAUUUGUCCAAGGUGGAAUUAUUUUGUGAUAGGGUAUUGGAAAAACAAAGUUUAAACCUAUUAUAGAACAAUAUUUCAAUCAAACAGAUAUGGGAUCACAUUCACCAUAAACUAUUACAAUAUUCCAUAGUUCAUUACAUUAGCAUUUCUAGCCAUUAGAACCUCAAAGACAUAACUAAUCAGUGUUAUAGAAACUUACCACGAAAUUAACAAAAGAGAAUAAAAGACCGUAAGCUUCAUUCGGUUUCAUAGCAUAUCUAAUAAAGUUAAAAUGUUUUUGUUUCGAAUGAUCUGAUACCUGAGAAUAGAGAAACAUGUAUGAUAAUAGAGAAAGGCCAAAAAUAAGAAGCACCCAUUCACUAAACCACCCCUUCAAAUCAACACACAGUCAGCAUGCAGAGAAAGAUCGCUUUGGACAUAAAGCUUAACAUUUUACCUGCAAGCCCGCUGUUUGAGAUAAACAACACCAAAUCAUUGUAUCCCCUUAGAAACUUAACAGGAUGCUCCACCUUGACCCAAUGACCGAAGACACUGCUGUAAAAAAAAAUAGGUUAUAGAGAAGACAAUAACACGUAUAUUAGAGAAAACAAUAGAAUAGGUUAUAGAGAAUAUGUUGGAAAAUAGGUACUGGUUGUAUACUGAAAUCAAUCAUUAGAACCCCUCUGGCUCUAAAACAUUGAAGAAGAAAUAUCUGAAGAAGAAAUAUCUGCACUAGUUUGGAAGCCUGAAACUCCACGCAGAAAGUAGAUUAACGUGGGUCAACUACAUCUUCAUGGUCAGUCUAAUUUCUAGUAUUACGGGUAUUAGAUUAUUGAAGUGCAAUAUACACCAAUAACCAUGUAUUAGUAACAUAGGAAAAAUAUGGAAAUAAUUUCAGGAAUACACAAUACAGGGGCGUUACAAAGCCUAAAAAAAGUUCGUAACUUCGAAUUAUCUUAUCAUACAAUUUGGUGGAGCAAAAACAAAAACUACCAACAUCAAUAUGCAGUGUUUGUCAUAAAACGACAAUUUCAUAUCCAUUACCAUUAUCCUCUAAUGCUCUGAGCAAUCUUAACGUUGGCCUGCAAAUUAUCCGGCCCUUCACCUGUGGAGGUAUUAUAUGCUUAUUUUGUCAACCAAAUGGAGAUCAUUAAACCUGAGUAAAUUUCCACUUAAUUAAGUUCUAAACACUAUAGUAAAAUCUAAAGUUAAAAAGAGCAGUUCAAUUUGACUAAAAAUACAUAAAGGAAGAGAGAAAGAACAAAGAGUUGUAGAAAGCUGUAAAAUGAUACUAAACCUGCAAGUUGAAUCAGAAAAAUAUUCAAACAAAUCUAAAAGCCAAAUUAUUCACAGGAUCAGUCUCAAAUUAAUAAAGAACUUGGGAAAUGCUAAGGAUGUCCAGCAGUUUACAUCUUCUCUAAAAAUACUACAGAUGGGUUCCUCCACUGACACUAUAAAAACAAGAGGUAUUCAUCAAUUCCCCCCCUGAACUUGUGACCAUUGGCCAAUUUCCCCAUUCAACUCUCAUAAUUAGUCAAUUUCCCCCCUCAACUCUCAUAAUUAGUCAAUUUCCCCCCUCAACUUUAAUUUGGCCAAUUUCCCCCCUCAACUCUCAUAAUUAGUCAAUUUGCACCCUACUGUUAAUUUUUUUUAAUUUUCCAUCUAUUCUUUUUUUCUUUCUUUCAAUCUUUCUAAUAACUUCCAACAAAGUACUAAAAUUAACAUAAACUCACCUGCAUAAUAUAAGGUAAAAUGUACAAAAACAUAAUACAAUUAGUAUGUGAUAUGGGUUGAUUAUAAGAAAAAGUUAUGAAUCAGGUUUAAAGCAUGUAGAAGAAGAAAUAAUAAUCCUAAACUCAUGGAUCAGACCUAUUUCAAUAAAAUGGGUUAUUCUUACUAAGGAGUCGAAAAUUAUGAAUUGACUAGCCAUUUUUGCACUAAAGCUCGAUUCUCCGCAAUUUACUUGAACUUAGCUUUCACUUUUAUAAAGAAAAUUGUAUUCACAUACAAAAAUGUACACAUCAAUCCUUUUCGUUAUCAAUAAUACUAUCUAUGAUAAAUUGUAAAAUUCUAAAUUGUUAAAAAAUUAACAGUAGGGUGCAAAUUGACUAAUUAUGAGAGUUGAGGGGGGAAAUUGGCCAAAUUAAAGUUGAGGGGGGGAAUUGACUAAUUAUGAGAGUUGAGGGGGGAAAUUGGCCAAAAUUAAAGUUGAGGGGGGAAAUUGGCCAAUAGUCACAAGUUCAGGGGGGAAAUUGAUGAAUACCUCUAAAAACAAAUUUAAAAUUACAAUUAAACUUAAUAUUUUCUCUUUUCCUCUCCCUCUUCGUGUUCCCUCUGUCCGAUGAAAACCAGAAGCGCAAAGCUUCCUAAAAUUCUAGCCAUUUUACUCAUCACUUCCCAAAAACUACAUAUACGUUUUAAUCCGACAACUAUGAAUACAUAUUCAAACUGGGAAAAAGUAGGACAGAAAACAUACCCAAAAAGUAACCGUGGCGUUCUAGCUUCUGCCAAAUCUCAGAUUUAUCAACUGAGGAGGCAAAACGCUAAAUCCCUUUUUAGCUGGGAAAGCCCUGACAAAGCACCACAACUCACCGCAAAACCAAAAUUAACAAAAAUCCAAAAUUAAAACUCAAAUACAGUACCUGAGUUGAAUAGAACUCAUUUCACUAUGAUCUGAAGACAGGCCGCGCCCAAACUGGGCUGGAAAUUCGUCGGAAAUUCGGCAACAACUUCGGAAUCCAAGACGGCAAAAGAGACAAAAUCUGUGAAGUCUUGGCCCGGCGAUUGCAAGUUUAGGAACCCUAGAAACCAAUUUUAUGUGUUUCGACAAAACGCCCACAACUGUAGGAUUGCAGGGAUGCAUAACUCCCCUCAAAUGCAGAGACGCAAAGAAAAUCCCUUAAAACACGAAAUUCAGGAACUUUCUCCUGAAUAUUUUGUGAAAUAAAGAACGGAAUAUUUGAGAGGAAUGGAGGAUUUGAGAAAAUCCCUUAAAACAUGUUUUUAACUACUAAUGGAUGCAAAAACAACAACAACCAAGCAUUAUCUCAUUCCCACUAAGUGGGGUUGGCUGUAUGAAUCCUAGAACAUCAUUACAUUCGGUUUUACGUCAAAUCUUUUGUUAGUUCUAAGUACUCCAUAUUAUUUCGUAUAGUCUCUUUCAAAUUCUUUCUAGGUCAUUAUCUACCUCUUUGCUCUGAGUCUCCUCAUAGUAACAACUACGUAAUGGGUAUUUUAGAAAUUUUGUCAAACACCAAAAAUAAUGGAAGCUAAUAUCAUUUUGCACGCUAUUAAGAAUUAUACUUAUUGUUGUGCUAGGAUAGCACCAAACUCGUUGGAACCAACUCAAGCUAACCCACAGGAAAUUUAUCAAAUUUAAAUGCAAGAACAAAAUAUUAAAGACACCAAGAUUUUAACGAGGUUCCUCAACAGUCAGUAUAACUGGAGUACGUCCUUGGAGCAGUAGGAGCUCACCCAAUAAUCCACUAUCAACUAAAUGGGAGUUUACAAAGUGUUGGCAAUCUCACAACCCAUAAGCCCAAUACACCCAAUAGCUCUCACACACCAAAGAAACAAAUAGAGAAAGAAAUAUAAUGAAUAAUUUCUUCUCUACACAUAUAGCUCAAAGUUAUUACAACAACAACUACUUUGGUGGAUGAUUACUAACCAAAAUGAAGCAUCAACUUCUUCUUUCUUUUUGGGCUCUCUACAACUCACCUUGCUCUCUCAAAGAUGGACUUCUAAAAAACUGAAAAAUGGUGCAGCCUUCCUCUUCUCUUUUCUUCUCCGAAACCAAACAUAUUAUGGCUUUGACAAAGCCAUAAAACAAGCCACAAGACAAUCCAUAAAACAAGGAAACAUUAGACAAGUUCCAUGUUUUCCUCCCCAAAACAAGGAAGGAUGUUGUCCACCUUCUUUUUUUCUUUUGAAUUGUUUUGUUGUCCACUUGGCCACUUGGCCAAUUAUUCAACACUUAUUACAUUAGAUUUUUCCCUUUUAGGCAAGGGGAUUCAAAAGUAAGUAAAUAAAAACUUCUUAUUUUAUGUGAGCCCCUAUUUUCUACAUUGUUUUAGGACACCUUUGAAACUCACUAAUCCAAUCAACAGGUUUUGGGAGGCAUUUUGCACACUAAAAAAAGUAUUGAAGAGUGGUCGUUGUUUAAAGAUAGUAAAAUAUGGGACGACUUGUCAAAAAGAGAAGAUAGAAUUAUGACAGUCUUAAAGUUGAGUUUUGACAAUUUAAAAUCACCAUCAGUGAAGCAAUGUUUUUCAUAUUGCUCAAUGUUAAAAAAAGAUUCUGAAAUUAAAAGAGAUAGUUUGAUUCAACUUUGGAUGGCUCAAGGACUACUUCACCCUUCACCUGGCGAAAGUAAAGAUAUGGAAGACAUAGGCAAUGAAUAUUUUGAUAUUCUAUUGCAGAGCUCCUUGUUUCAAGAUGCUUCAAUGAGUGACAAUGGCAUUGUUAGCAAAUGCAAGAUGCAUGAUCUUGUGCACGAUUUGGCAAAACUUAUAUCCAAAUCUGAAAUCUUGACGGAAGACUUAUGUGACACUGGUAAUGCAGUUGAGAUUCGACAUGUUGCUCGGGUUUCUACUUUUAUACUAGAAAACAUUCUAGAAAGAGAUGCCAGGAAAUUGCGAUCGUUGUUUUUUGACGAUGGUGAAGUUCCUAAUAACAUUCUUCUACGAUUCAAAGCUUUACGCGUCUUAAAUUUGUGUAAUGCUAAUAUUGAAGAAUUUCCAGUUUCAGUUGGAAAGCUGAAACACUUGAGGUAUCUUGACAUUUCCGAAACAAGAUUCAAAACACUCCCCAACUCUAUAGGCAAGCUCUAUAACCUACAGACGUUACGAGCAACAAAUUGUGCCCUUAAAGAGUUUCCAAAAGAACUGCAAAGCUUGAUCAACCUGAGGCAUAUUUAUUUUGAUCAGAGUACGAAAUUUCCACAGGGUAUAAGGCGAUUGACUUGCCUUCGAACAUUACCUUACUUUUCGGUGGGUAAUGAGAUUGGUCGUCAAAUUGAAGAGUUGGCUGGCUUGAAACAAUUGAAAGGUAAAUUAAUUAUUUGUAAUCUGGAGCACGUGAAGAAUGGAAAAGAAGCAAAGAAAGCUAAGUUGGAGGAUAAGACGAAGGUAUGCCAUUUAAGCUUCAAAUGGACAGAAGAUAGGUCAAUAACCAACAACAAUGAGGAUGAGGCUGUACUGGAAGGCCUUCGACCGCAUCCUGGGUUGGAAAGCUUAUGUAUUGAAAACUUCAUGGGAGAUAGGUUCCCAUCGUGGAUGAUGAGAAGGCCAUUACUGCUCAACAACUUGAAGGACAUUCAGCUACUUGGAUGCGACAAAUGUGGAGGAGUCCCAUCGCUUGGUCAUCUACCCAAUCUUACGAAGCUUAAGAUUAAUGGAAUGGCUAAGUUGACAUGCCUUGGAGCUGAAUUCUAUGGUUAUGAUCUUGUCCACAGUGUAACCACGACAAGUAAGGAGAUAAUUACUUUAUUUCCUGCACUAAAAGUAUUAUAUAUAUCUAGGUGUGGUGAUCUAAUUGAAUGGAAGGAAGCACCAACGAUGUCAACAAAAAACGUAGUGGUUUUUCCUUGCCUCGAGAAGUUGACCAUUGAUAGUUGUUCCAAAUUGAGAAAUGCUCCAAGUCAUUUUCCAUAUCUCCAAAAUUUGGAGAUAAUUUCAUGUGAUAGCAGAACGCCAAUAGAAGAAAUAAGCAGUGGAUUGACAACUCUCACUUCCCUCAAAAUAAAAGAUAUUAAGGAGCUUACUUGUUUGCCACAAGGGAUGUUGAAGAACAACAAUAAUCUCUUAUCUUUGGAGAUAAGUGAUUGCGAUGAUUUAACUUGUAUUGCCUCAGAUGUAUUUGGUUCUUGCGUCUCUCUUGCGAAAUUGAAAAUUUGGGAUUGUAGAAAGCUGAGGCAUUUGGCGGAUGGGCUAGAUACACUCCCUCUCCUUGAGGAACUGACUAUUAAGAAAUGUCCUAGUCUAGAGUUGAUUCCAAUUACACAGGGCAUGGCAUCUCUACGGGAAUUAGAGAUUGGUAAUUGUGAAGGAUUGUCUAGCCUACCGAGUGGGUUAGAGUACUGCACCGCCCUCCAGACAUUGAAGGUAGAAAAGUGCGAUGGCGUAACAUCGUUUCCAGUUCACACCCUUGCAAGUCUUCGCAAUUUGUAUAUUUGGGAUUGGAAUGGAUUAUCAGGCCCACUUAGUGUAUGGGCCUGCCUCGUGGAAUUGGAAAUAAUGAGUUGCAAUAAUCUGACAUCAAUUGAAAUUAAAGGCGACGUGUCCUCUCUUCAGAAGUUGAGAAUCUGGUUUUGCAAAGAAUUAUCAAGCUUACCUGCUCUUCCACAACAAUGUCCCUCUCUUCAGGAUUUGGAGAUAAAGUUUUGCCCAAAGGUAGCAUCGUUCGGUGUCCAAAGUAGCAGCAUUAGUCUACAAUCUACUUCAGAUUUGCGCACCAUGACCUCCCUUCGACAACUGAUGAUUGGAGGAGGAUGUGAAGGAUUGGAAAGUUGGGUUAGCGGGCUGCAAUUUCCACUCUCUCUUGAUAUGCUGGAAAUAUACGAUUUUCCUAAUUUAGAGAUUCUUCCAAGUUUAGACAACCUCGAUUCUCUCCAUUAUUUAGACAUUACGUAUUGCCGAAAGCUAAAAUAUCUGCCGACGGGGUUACAACGGCUCCAACGCUUGAAGGUAUUGACAAUCGGUGGGUUGUGGGAGGAGCUCGAUUCCUUCCCUGAUUUUCAAGUUGGAUCAUUAAUGCACCUUACAAGAUUAGCCUUGUAUGGUUGGCCUAAGCUCAAGUCUCUGCCUCAACAAAUUCAACACCUCACUUCUCUAACAUUUUUGAGGAUAGAUUCAUUUGACGGAGUGGAGACUUUGCCAGAAUGGUUGGGUAGCCUUACUUCCCUUAGAGUGCUGAGGAUUGAAGAUUGCAAGAAUCUGACCAACUUACCUAGUGUCCAAGCUAUGCAACGCCUCACCAAAUUACAUACAUUGUCAAUUUUUCAAUGUCAUCCCCUUCUAAAGCAAAGAUGCAGCAGGGACAGCGGCACAGAUUGGCCCAAGAUUUCUCACAUUCCAUCUAUCGCAAGUACGUUCUAGAAUUCUUGAAAUGAAAUUACAGAGAUGAUGUUACAUGUUUAUCUCUUUUCUUCUUUUAUUCGUCUCAACUACUACAUACAAAUUUAAACUAGCAUAACAAAAGUUAUUUAUUCUUCUCCCUCUUCUUUUAAAUCAGUUGACGGAGAAUUCAUACAAUCGUUGGAUGGAAGGUAGGCAGCACCUUACCAACCUACAGCAAAUGUGUAUUGGAAAAACCAAAUUUCAUGGUGUGCAAGGCCACACUUGUCCGAAUGGCUCCAACUUCCACAUUGAAAUUAAUCCAUGUAAGCUUUUCUAAUCCUCACCUCCUCUUCUCUUCUAAAUGCAUUCUACUCUUGACUUUUCACUUACUGUAUAUGUUGUGUUUUCGCACGCUGUGGCAUUUUUCAGGAUGCUCAAUAGCUUUGGACAGAUAUUUUUAUGGUUACUUGUGAAAUCUAAACUGAUUUUUUAAUCGUAUGAACAGUAAUUACAUUGUAAAAUACCCGCAUUAUCGCAGAGAUUAGAUAAAAGAAUCUUCAGUUGCAAUGCUAGAUGAUAUUUUCAAGCUCUGUCCAGGCAGAACUGGGAGUCUGGUAGAAACUCUUGACCGAACAUUUCUAAUUUAGACAAACUGGGAAGCACUCAUCCCUUUAAUUACACUGGAUCAACAUUCUUUGUUGGAUACUUAAUGCAAGUCGCUACUCGAGGGAGUGGAGGCUUUGCCAGAACUGUUGGGUAACCUUACAUCCUUGUAGAGUUGGGAAUUAGAUGAAUUACAAGAAUUUGAUGAAUCUACCCUCUGCCAAAGCUAUGCAAUGCGUCGCCAAUUUACUGUCACAGUAAAUUAAGCAAUGUAAGUUUUUUAAACUCCACCCCCUUCUCUUCUAGCAAUUAAGUUGACUUAUUAUAUAUGUUGUGUUUCCAAUUGGCAUGUAUAACUCUAUUAGCAUCCUUUGGCAUUUUCAUGACACUCUUGCUCAAUUGGAACGAUGUAAUGCAGUAGGUGUAAACAGAGUCCAGGUGCUGAUGCAAACAGGUCCUUCUUUCAUCCAUUGCAUGCUAGCAUGUAACUUCUGAAUUGGCUCAUAACUUUGUUGUUGAGAAAUACAUUGAAAUCGAAGCGGACUUGGUUGUUCAACCAUCAGUCCAUCACUUUUAGUUCUACCUGGCCAGACUAGUUCUCAUUAUCAUUCACAUUGUUUUGUUCCAAAACGUUUUAAAGUGGAAUUUUUCCUCUGGCCUGAUUGUUACGAGAGUGAUACUAUUGUUAAUUUUUUUGUCUUUCCUAGCAGAACAUUAUAGAUCUCGGGACUUUUUGGGAUUCAAUGAGAAAGUUAGUUGAAAUGCCACUAUCGAGAGUGAUAUUAUUGUUGGUGUGUUUGAAUAUAAACCAGAUUAAUGCUUUAAAUUGUUAUGACAUAAACAUACGAAUCACUCGUACAAAUAUAUGUAAACCAAUUUAACACUUUCGAUUGCUAUUCAUUCUUAUCAAAACAAACAACAACUAAACCAUAAACAAGAAUGUUCUGCAUAUGCUUAUACAUGUUCCGCACGUAACACAAUUUAUAAUUGUGUUACCUCCGUAGUUGGUAAUACUUUGUAAACCAUACGACAUGUUCAUUUUGCAGCAAGCCCAUUAGACCUUGAUUUUACUCAUGAGAGUCUUCGAGGGAAUUGUUUUUUUCGGUCAUGGAACUCACUCUGUAUCAGCGGUGGCAGGGGAUAUGAACUUUUAUGGCCUAGGAAACGAAAAUGCUAGAGGUAAGGUGUUCCUGCUGUGAAAAGUGCAACAUAUAAAGUAUGCAAGCUUUUAUGCUGCGGUCAUGUCAGGCUAUCUGUUUUAAUUAGCAGAGCUAGUUUGAAAACUAAUACUCAUGGUAAUAGUUCCAAGCAUAUUAUUAUCAGUUGAAAAGUUGAAAUUUGUGCUUUAUGUUUUCUUAAGUUGUUUUGGUGUUAUCUUUGUACAGGGAGAAUUCGGAUUCCAUUCAAAACUCAUGCGUGGAUCAAUAUCAUUCUUCAACUUCAAUCAUCUUUCCUUAUCAUCAAAUCCUAAUUUGGACACAAAUUGGUAAUCUUUUAUCUUUUUGAUUCCAACUGGUCAAUAUUCUUUGUUGAUACUCGUCACCAAAUUGAAAUGUAUCCUUAAGAGUUUGCAGAUAUUUGAAUUCAGUUAAUUUUUUGUGUUGUAUGGGUCUUUAGAAGCUUGGGCUUCCUAGCGUCCUUUGUGCCUUGCAUUGCUGUGAAAGGAGAGUGCAAGAAGCAGCCAACUGUUGAAUAGAGGGAGAGCUUGAGCUUUGAAGCCGAAAAAACUUUGGUACUACCCUAAUUGUUACUCUCUCUCUUCACUUGCUUUCUAAAAGACUCUCUCAUGCUCCUUUCGAAAUGUAACCUACAUUAUUAUAGUAAAAACUGGAGAAACUACUAAACAUGGACGUAGCCCAUCUUGCACGUAUAGAAGGUUCGUACAAUGUCCUUUGGACUUAGUACUGUCUUUAAAGAAAGAAAGAAAUUCUGGAUGCUUCGUUGGGGAUGAGAGUCUGUAAAAUCAACUCCGGUAUAUACGGUGUGCUUUUCUCCUUUUAUUUUACAUUGAACAAUCUAAGCACACAUUUUUUCCCAUUUUCAGGUUUUCUCCAUUCAUAUUCACCAUGAAGUUUUAGUCCUUCUGCCAUGAUGAUAACGAUGUCGUAAGAGUCAUUUGUGUUGCAAAACAAAGUUUCUCAGUUGCUUGUAAAAUAGUAAAUUCUUUUACAUGGAAUGCCAUGAUGAUAACGAUGUCGGUGCAGGUCCAUAUUGGGUACUUUGGGUCACUCUUCCUGAUGGUGUUCUCUCACCAUUGUCUCAACACCUUAGCAUUUUGCAGAGAUUUCUUCGGGACUUGAAGGGAACACUGUCUCCUUUGAGCCACUUUCUUAUAAAGAAAUAAAAAAUUUAUCUUUGAGAAUUAAUCUUGUUUAUAUAAACCGUGCGUUGCAGAUAUGAAGGGAGCAGUCUGUUACAUUAAGCAGAAAAUUCAAGCUGCAAACAAGUUACUUACUCCUACAAACAUGUGCAUUCUC
rnacentral:lncRNA from 1 species